AGAGUUUGAUCAUGGCUCAGAUUGAACGCUGGCGGCAGGCUUAACACAUGCAAGUCGAACGGUAACAUGGGUGCUUGCACCUGAUGACGAGUGGCGGACGGGUGAGUAAUGUAUGGGGAUCUGCCGAAUGGAAUGGGACAACAGUUGGAAACGGUGGCUAAUACCGCAUAAUGUCGCAAGACCAAAGAGGGGGACCUUCGGGCCUCUUGCCAUCGGAUGUGCCCAGAUGGGAUUAGCUUGUUGGUGAGGUAAUGGCUCACCAAGGCGACGAUCCCUAGCUGGUCUGAGAGGAUGACCAGCCACACUGGAACUGAGACACGGUCCAGACUCCUACGGGAGGCAGCAGUGGGGAAUAUUGCACAAUGGGCGCAAGCCUGAUGCAGCCAUGCCGCGUGUAUGAAGAAGGCCUUCGGGUUGUAAAGUACUUUCAGCGGGGAGGAAGGCGAUAAGGUUAAUAACCUUGUCGAUUGACGUUACCCGCAGAAGCAGCACCGGCUAACUCCGUGCCAGCCGCCGCGGUAAUAC
rnacentral:rRNA from 1 species